rnacentral:rRNA from 1 species
AGGACGAACGCUGGCGGCGUGCUUAACACAUGCAAGUGGAGCGACGAACCAGGGCUUGCCCUGGGGCAGAGCCGCGAACGGGUGAGUAACACGUGGGUUACCUGCCUCGAUGACCGGGACAACCCGAGGAAACUCGGGCUAAUACCGGAUGUGCCCGUAAGGGGAAAGGAAGCUUAGGCCUCCGCAUCGAGAUGGGCCCGCGGCCCAUUAGCUUGUUGGUGAGGUAACGGCUCACCAAGGCUGCGAUGGGUAGCUGGUCUGAGAGGACGAUCAGCCACACUGGGACUGAGACACGGCCCAGACUCCUACGGGAGGCAGCAGUGGGGAAUCUUGCGCAAUGCGCGAAAGCGUGACGCAGCAACGCCGCGUGGGGGAAGAAGGCUUUCGGGUUGUAAACCCUUUCAGUUGGGACGAAGCUUCGCCGGUGAAUAGCCGGCUGGAGUGACGGUACCUUCACAAGAAGCACCGGCUAACUACGUGCCAGCAGCCGCGGU